rnacentral:rRNA from 1 species
AGAGUUUGAUCAUGGCUCAGGACGAACGCUGGCGGCGUGCCUAACACAUGCAAGUCGAACGGAGUUCGGGAGCUUGCUCCCGAACUUAGUGGCGGACGGGUGAGUAACGCGUGAGCAACCUGCCUUUCAGAGGGGAAUAACGUCCUGAAAAGGACGCUAAUACCGCAUAACAUAAGCUAUCCGCAUGGGGAGCUUAUCAAAGGAGCAAUCCGCUGAGAGAUGGGCUCGCGUCCGAUUAGCCAGUUGGCGGGGUAACGGCCCACCAAAGCGACGAUCGGUAGCCGGACUGAGAGGUUGAACGGCCACAUUGGAAUUGAGAACGGUCCAGACUCCUACGGGAGGCAGCAGUGGGGGAUAUUGCGCAAUGGGGGGAACCCUGACGCAGCAACGCCGCGUGAAGGAAGAAGGUCUUCGGAUUGUAAACUUCUUUUAUCAAGGACGAAGAAUGACGGUACUUGAUGAAUAAGCUCCGGCUAACUACGUGCCAGCAGCCGCGGUAAUACGUAGGGAGCGAGCGUUGUCCGGAUUUACUGGGUGUAAAGGGUGCGUAGGCGGCCGAGCAAGUCAGUUGUGAAAUCUAUGGGCUCAACCCAUAGCCUGCAAUUGAAACUGUCCGGCUUGAGUGAAGUAGAGGCAGGCGGAAUUCCCGGUGUAGCGGUGAAAUGCGUAGAGAUCGGGAGGAACACCAGUGGCGAAGGCGGCCUGCUGGGCUUUAACUGACGCUGAGGCACGAAAGCAUGGGUAGCAAACAGGAUUAGAUACCCUGGUAGUCCAUGCCGUAAACGAUGAUUACUAGGUGU